rnacentral:rRNA from 1 species
CCUACGGGUGGCAGCAGUGAGGAAUAUUGGUCAAUGGGCGGGAGCCUGAACCAGCCAAGCCGCGUGAAGGAAGAAGGUACUUAGUAUUGUAAACUUCUUUUGUCGGGGGACAAAGGCGGAGACGCGUCCCCGGCUGAGUGUACUCGAAGAAAAAGCAUCGGCUAACUCCGUGCCAGCAGCCGCGGUAAUACGGAGGAUGCGAGCGUUAUCCGGAUUUAUUGGGUUGAAAGGGAGCGUAGGUGGAUUGUUAAGUCAGUUGUGAAAGUUUGCGGCUCAACCGUAAAAUUGCAGUUGAAACUGGCAGUCUUGAGUACAGUAGAGGUGGGCGGAAUUCGUGGUGUAGCGGUGAAAUGCUUAGAUAUCACGAAGAACUCCGAUUGCGAAGGCAGUUCACUGGACUGCAACUGACACUGAGGCUCGAAAGUGUGGGUAUCAAACAGGAUUAGAUACCCUUGUAGUC